AUACGUAGGGAGCGAGCGUUGUCCGGAUUUACUGGGCGUAAAGGGCGUGUAGGCGGUCUUGCAAGUCAGAAGUGAAAUUCCUGAGCUCAACUCGGGCGCUGCUUCUGAAACUGCAGGACUUGAGUGCUGGAGGGGAUAGCGGAAUUCCUAGUGGAGCGGUAAAAUGCGCAGAUAUUAGGAAGAACACCGGUGGCGAAGGCGGGUAUCUGGACUGUAACUGGCGCUGAGGCGCGAAAGUGUGGGGAGCAAACAGGAUUAGAUACCCUGGUAGUCCACACUGUAAACGAUGAAUGCUAGGUGUAGGGGGUAUCGACCCCUUCUGUGCCGCAGUCAACACAAUAAGCAUUCCGCCUGGGGAGUACGGCCGCAAGGUUGAAACUCAAAGGAAUUGACGGGG
rnacentral:rRNA from 1 species